ensembl:lincRNA
UUUUAAGACAACACAAGGAAGCUUACAUUCUCUCUUGUUUUUUGCUUUCCACCACGUGAGAAUACAAGAAGAAGAUGGCCAGCUGCAAGGUAGGAAGGGGGAGCCCUCAUUAGACACCAGAUCUGCUGGUACUUUUAUCUUGGACUUCUCAGCCUCCAGAAUUUUGACAAAAAAAUAUAUAUAUAUAUAAAUAAUAAAUCUCUGUUGUUCACACCACCUGGAAUAUGGUAUUUUUGUUUUGGCAACCCAAGCAGACUAAGACAGGAAUGUACUUCAAUUUACUCAUCUGUAAAAUGUGUGGAGUGGACAAAGUCAUAAUUUUACCUCCAAUUUCAAGGUUCUGAAGAUCUAGGAAGGUUAAAGUUCUUGAAAGUUGUUGUAAUUUUGGCUCUGACACCAGGAUAACUAAGCGUCAGAUCUGUUCAAUCAGAAAUAACUAUUACAUGAGUAAUAUCAGAAAAGUGUACAUCGUUAAGUGGCUGAUUAACUAAAAUGCAUUUCUGUAAAGUUCUGUACCAAAAUGUUACUGUAAGGAAACCAACACCUCCAUUCUAUCCCUACACCUGAGUUUGUGUCCUAGUGAAAGAUACAGAUCUUUGGCAAUGCAUCAUCUAACUAAGAAGUGGUUUUGAUUUUUGUUUAGGGAUAUACAAUAGGUUUCAGUCCCAUUCUGACAUAACAGUAUUAGAAUACUGAACAUGUAGUCAAUACAUGGCCCCUGAGGUGGUGGAAGUCUUCGUGGACCAGGCCACGUUCUACAAUAAGCAUUGUGACCUGGGGAGCCUGGGCAUGGUCUUCUACAUCAUGCUGAGUGGCUACCUGCCCUUCGUGGGUCACUGCGGGGCCAACUGUGGCUGGGACCGGGGUGAGGUCUGCAGGGUGUGCCAGAAAAAGCUGUUUGAAAGCAUCCAGGAAGGUAUUGUGUGGGUGGCACAGAUCUGGGCAGUUAGAUGGAGCUCUAUGCAUGAGAUGAAGCCACACUGGCGUGAAGCCUCGCUGCCCUGUUUGAGUGAGGCAGUCCCUGCUGCCCGAAUGCGUGAAGGUACAGCCAUUCAGUAUUUGCAGGAAUCCUAAGCAGUCACAUCAGGCUCGAAUUUAGUGAACCUGCUCUUAGUCUCCAAACCUCCCAUCCAGAGCCAUUACAGAGAAAACUACCUCUAACUGAAGUUGCGCAUUGGAACACCUUGUUUAAAGGCCGGGCUUCAAAUUCAGGCAGGUAUGUGUUGAAAUCUCAGCUUCUCUAUUUAUUUGCUAUGAAACAUUAAUAUUCCUGUACCCACACA